UCUAGAGAUAGAGUCUUCCCCUUCGGGGGACAAAGUGACAGGUGGUGCAUGGUUGUCGUCAGCUCGUGUCGUGAGAUGUUGGGUUAAGUCCCGCAACGAGCGCAACCCUUAAGCUUAGUUGCCAGCAUUAAGUUGGGCACUCUAAGUUGACUGCCGGUGACAAACCGGAGGAAGGUGGGGAUGACGUCAAAUCAUCAUGCCCCUUAUGAUUUGGGCUACACACGUGCUACAAUGGACAAUACAAAGGGCAGCUAAACCGCGAGGUCAUGCAAAUCCCAUAAAGUUGUUCUCAGUUCGGAUUGUAGUCUGCAACUCGACUACAUGAAGCUGGAAUCGCUAGUAAUCGUAGAUCAGCAUGCUACGGUGAAUACGUUCCCGGGUCUUGUACACACCGCCCGUCACACCACGAGAGUCUGUAACACCCGAAGCCGGUGGAGUAACCAUUUAUGGAGCUAGCCGUCGAAGGUGGGACAAAUGAUUGGGGUGAAGUCGUAACAAGGUAGCCGUAUCGGAAGG
rnacentral:rRNA from 1 species